rnacentral:rRNA from 1 species
UACGGAGGGAGCUAGCGUUGUUCGGAAUCACUGGGCGUAAAGCGCGCGUAGGCGGCUUCGCAAGUCAGAGGUGAAAGCCUGGGGCUCAACCCCAGAACUGCCUUUGAGACUGCGUCGCUUGAAUCCGGGAGAGGCGGGUGGAAUUCCGAGUGUAGAGGUGAAAUUCGUAGAUAUUCGGAAGAACACCAGUGGCGAAGGCGGCCCGCUGGACCGGUAUUGACGCUGAGGUGCGAAAGCGUGGGGAGCAAACAGG